CAGAGUUUUAUGAAGAAAUUUUAAAUUUAGAAAAUGUGGUGAUCUUUCUGUUUGUGUCAAACUAGAGCGAAAAUUUUCAUGUGUAUAAAUUAAUAGUAAAAACAAUAUGCGUGUAAAAUUAUUGUGGAAUGUCGCUAAGAUAAUCUUGAUAUCGGGGUUAUCAUUUGGCGUUUAAAUUAUACAAAUGAUAGCAAAAUUUCGGUGCCUUGUCAAGGAAUCGUUGGCUUUUGCAUAGCCAAUGAUUUGCUUAUCGCUUCUGAAUUUCAUUGGUGCUGCCAUAAUCCUGCGACUUUUGGGAGUUUGUGCCCAUCACUUUUGUUUACAUAAUCGGUGCUUGUGUGGAAAGAAAUUGGUUGGUAACGAUAGUAGUGAAAUAAAGAAACCGCAAUCUUCUUAGUCUAGCUAAGUUCUCACCGCUGCAGUAAGCUGGGCAGAGCUUGUGGGUGGAAUAUUAUUUCUGGAAGUGUGUCCUUGUUUACUUGCAAUGAUUUGCAUGAGUUGUGCUACAGCCCUCGUGGCAGCUACUUGUAUAGCCUGCGGGCCGAUAGUCUGUGAUAAGAUCUUAAAAUGUUUCAUCAAAAGUAAACGAUAAUGUCCUAUGCUAUAUUGUGUCCGUAACAUUGUGAUGUAAUAAAUUGAUAUCCCUUUAAAUA